rnacentral:misc_RNA from 1 species
GAUGAAGAACGUAGCGAAAUGCGAUAAGUGGUGUGAAUUGCAGAAUUCAGUGAAUCAUCGAAUCUUUGAACGCACAUUGCGCCCUUUGGUAUUCCUUAGGGCAUGCCUGUUCGAGCGUCAUUUAAACCUUCAAGCUAAGCUUGGUGUUGGGUGACUGUCCGCUUCACGGCGGACUCGCCUCAAAAUUAUUGGCGGCCGGUACAUUGGCUUCGAGCGCAGCAGAAACGCGAACUCGGGCCCGUCGUAUUGGCUCCCAGAAGCUAUCUUCACAAUUUUGACCUCGGAUCAGGUAGGGAUACCCGCUGAACUUAAGCAUAUCAAUAAGCGGAGGA